GACGCUGCCAUGGGCUCCAGGCUCCUCUGCUGGGUGACCCUUGGUCUCCUGGGAGCAGGUCCUGUGGAUGCUGAGGUCACUCAAAGCCCCAGAUACCUGUUCAAAGCAAGGAGUCAGCCAGUGACCCUGACAUGCAACUAUGAAUCCGAGCAUGAUAACGUGUACUGGUACCAACAGGCACUGGACCAGGGUCCCAAGUUCCUUGUUCAGUAUUACAGUGGGCAAGAGUAUCAAAAAGGCAGCAUCCCUGAUCAUUUCUCAGUCCAACAGUUCAGUAAGGACUCCAGCUCUGAGCUGAGCGUGAGCUCCGUGAAAGUGGCCGACUCUGCCCUGUACCUCUGUGCCAGCAGCCUCACAGCCCUGCCUACUCAUCUGCCUCCUGCACAAAAACACCCCUGGACAGCCCAGGAAGUGGCAGAACGUGAGGGAGGCUGCCAGGCAGCAGGGCCCAGAGUAUAA